GUACGCGUGGGCAGCCUACACUUACAAGCGAGCGGUAGAGCGAAGCUGCUUCUCUUGAGAGCGGCGGUGAGUAAUGCCUAGGAAUCUGCCUGGUAGUGGGGGAUAACGUUCGGAAACGGACGCUAAUACCGCAUACGUCCUACGGGAGAAAGCAGGUGACCUUCGGGCCUUGCGCUAUCAGAUGAGCCUAGGUCGGAUUAGCUAGUUGGUGAGGUAAUGGCUCACCAAGGCGACGAUCCGUAACUGGUCUGAGAGGAUGAUCAGUCACACUGGAACUGAGACACGGUCCAGACUCCUACGGGAGGCAGCAGUGGGGAAUAUUGGACAAUGGGCGAAAGCCUGAUCCAGCCAUGCCGCGUGUGUGAAGAAGGUCUUCGGAUUGUAAGCACUUAAGUUGGGAGGAAGGCAUUACUAAUCGU
rnacentral:rRNA from 1 species